GGUUUACGGUAAACAUUGACUUCAUCUACUUGAUUUCAUCGUAUUCACACAAAUGCUCUUAUGCCCUUUGUUUUAAAGGUUGUUUGUUUUUCCAAAUUGCAGACAUUGAUUUUGUUUAUUCCUUAUAUGCUUACAGGGGUGGUGAUGUUCUAUAAAGGUUCAGGUGUGGUAUAAAGGUUCAGGUGUGGUGAUGUACUAUAAAGGUUCAGGUGUGGUGAUGUUCUAUAAAGGUUCAGGUGUACUAUAAAGGUUCAGGUGUGGUGAUGUACUAUAAAGGUUCAGGUGUGGUGAAGAUGUAUUAUAAAGGUUCAGGUGUGGUCAUGUUCUAUAAAGGUUCAGGUGUGGCGAUGAUGUAUUAUAAAGGUUCAGGUGUGUUGAUGCACUAUAAAGGUUCAGGUGUGGUUCAGGUGUGGUGGUGUACUAUAAAGGUUCAGGUGUGGUGAUGCAUUAUAAAGGUUGAUGUAUUAUAAAGGUACAGGUGUGGUGAUGUACUAUAAAGGUUCAGGUGUGGUGAUCUACUAUAAAGGUUCAGGUGUGGUGAAGAUGUAUUAUAAAGGUUCAGGUGUGGUGGUGUACUAUAAAGGUUCAGGUGUGGUGGUGAUGUACUAUAAAGGUGUGGUGAUGUUCUAUAAAGGUUCAGGUGUGGUGGUGUACUAUAAAGGUUCAGGUGUGGUGGUGUACUAUAAAGGUACUAUAAAGGUGCAAUGGUGUA
rnacentral:lncRNA from 1 species